AGUGAACGCUGGCGGCAGGCCUAACACAUGCAAGUCGAGCGGCAGCGCGUCCGACCACCCUCGGGUGGUCGGAUGGCGGCGAGCGGCGGACGGGUGAGGAAUGCAUCGGAAUCUGCCUCGUUGUGGGGGAUAACGUAGGGAAACUUACGCUAAUACCGCAUACGACCUACGGGUGAAAGUGGGGGACCUUCGGGCCUCACGCGAUGAGAUGAGCCGAUGCCGGAUUAGCUAGUUGGCGGGGUAAAGGCCCACCAAGGCGACGAUCCGUAGCUGGUCUGAGAGGACGAUCAGCCACACUGGGACUGAGACACGGCCCAGACUCCUACGGGAGGCAGCAGUGGGGAAUAUUGCACAAUGGGCGAAAGCCUGAUGCAGCAAUGCCGCGUGUGUGAAGAAGGCCUGCGGGUUGUAAAGCACUUUCAGUAGGGAGGAAACAGUAGCCGGUUAAUAUACCGGUUGCCUUGACGUUACCUACAGAAGAAGCA
rnacentral:rRNA from 1 species